rnacentral:lncRNA from 1 species
UGAGGCUCUCUUCAGAUGAAGCUGGAGGAAGUAGUGCGAGAUAAUACAGGACUGGAGACAAUCAGGGAGAAGAAGAAUGAGGUGGAGGGCUUGUGGUCGGGGGGACCUCAGCAAAGGUUGGCUUCUCAAUCUGUGUAACAUUCCUGACCACCUUGCACUGGGGACCAAGUAAGAGUCGCCAAACCACUAAUCUGCCACAUUCUCCUCUGGGAAGAGCUGAGAAGAAGUGAAGAAUCCUGCCAAGCAAGAGCAGUAUGUGCAUAAGAGAACGAGGCCCUAGCCCAACAUGCCCUUCCUCCGACAUCCAUCCAAGGCACACCUCACAGGUCACCUGCCAUGUUCAUUCUGGAGAAAACACAGCUUGGUGAGUGAUUUAUGCUGGGAUCUGACAGAGAUCCUAGGCCAGGCUACCCUAGACAGGGUGGCUCAUCAAGAGAAGGCUGAGGGGGAGAGAGUUCCCUGCUAGGGUCCUAGGGGAGAAGUGUGGCAGUGGCCAACCCCCAGGUUCUCGGCAAGGGUUGGGUGGUUGUUUUCAGAUGGUCCUAUUGUUGUCUAACUUCAGGCAAGACCCUUGACCUUUCUGAGCCCUGCUUUCAUUCUCUGUGAAAUGGGAAUGAGAACACCUACCUUACAGGACUGUUAAAGGCCUGGUACGUGUGGAUCUUCAAUUGUUAUAGAUUGAAUUCUGUCUCUCCCAAAUUCAUAUGAUGAAGUCCUAAUCCCCGGUACCUUUAAUGUGACCUUAUUUGGAAAUAGAGUCAUUACAGAUAUAAUUAGUUAAGAUGAGGUCACAUUGGAGGGUAGGCCCCUAAUCCAAUGUGAUCCAUAUCCUUAUAAAAAUGGGAAAAUUGGAGACAGAUACACAGGGAGGGUGCCAUGUGAAGAUGAAAGCAGAGAUUGAAGUGAUGUGACUACAAGCCAAGGAAUGCCAAAGAUCGCCAGCAAACCAGAAGCUUGGGGAGAGGCCUGGAACAGAUUCCGCCUUAGCCCCAAGAAGGAACUCAUGCUGCUGACACCAUGAUCAUGGACUUCCAGCCUCCAGAACUGUGAGAUAAUAAGUAUCUGUUGUUUGAACCUCCCAGUUUGUGGUACUUUGUUAUGGCAGCUCUAGCAAACGCAUACACCAUUGUCAUCUUUGAUAACCCUGUGACUCCUCCUCUCCCUCUCUUCCUGGUGCCUUCCUCCAAGGGUAUCCUGCAGGCAACUGGAGCAGCUGCUUGGAGGGAUGCACAAAAGAAAUGCCAAAACCACAGUGAGGUCCCGUCUCACACCAGUUACAAUAUCUAUUGUUACAAAGUCAAAAAAUAACCAUUCUGGUGAGGUUGUGGAGAAAAAGGAAUGCUUUCACACUCUUGGUGGGAGUGUAGAUUAGUUCAGUCAUUGUGGAAGAUAGUGUGGCAAUUCCUCAAAGACCUAAAGACAGAAAUACCAUUCGAUCCAGUGAUCCCAUGACUGAGCAUACACCCAAGGAAUAUAAAUCAUUCUGUUAUAAAGAUACAUGCAUGUGUAUGUUUAUUGCAACACUAUUCUCAAUAGCCAAUACAUGGAAUCAACCUAAAUGUCCAUCAGUGGUAGACUGGAUAAAGAAAAUGUGGUAUAUAUACACUAUGAAAUACUAUGCAGCCGCAAAAAGGAACAAGAUCAUGUCCUUUGCAGCAGCCUGGAUGGAGCUGGAGGCCAUUAUCCUCAGCAAACUGACGCAGGAGCAGAAAACCAAACGCUGUAUGUUCUCACUUAUAAGUGGGAGCUAAAUGAUGCGAACACAUGGACACAGCGAGGAGAACAACACAACAAUAGGGCCUACUGGAGAAUGGAGGGCGGGAGGAGGGAGAGGAUCAGGAAAAAUAACUAAUGGAUACUAGGCUUAAUACCUGGGCGAUGAAAUAAUCUGUAUAACAAACCCCCAUGAUAUACAUGUUUACCUGUGUAACAAACCUGCACAUCCUGCACAUGUACCCCUGAACUUAAAAUAAAAGUUAAAAA